GUGUAAGCCUGUAGGGAGAGACAUAGGCAAAUCCGUGUCUCAUAUAUCCUGAGAGGUGAUGCGUAGCCGAAUGAGGCGAAUUCCAUGAUCCUAUGCUGCCGAGAAAAGCCUCUAGCGAGUGGCGACACGGCCCGUACCCCAAACCAACACAGGUGGUCAGGUAGAGAAUACUAAGGCGAUCGAGAGAACUGUGGUUAAGGAACUCGGCAAAAUGCCCCCGUAACUUCGGGAGAAGGGGGACCACGUCUGGUGAUCAACUUUUCGUUGUGAGCUGGGUGUGGUCGCAGAGACCAGAGAGAAGCGACUGUUUACUAAAAACACAGGUCCGUGCGAAGUCGUAAGACGAUGUAUACGGACUGACGCCUGCCCGGUGCUGGAAGGUUAAGAGGACCGGUUAACACUUCGGUGUGAAGCUGAGAAUUUAAGCCCCAGUAAACGGCGGUGGUAACUAUAACCAUCCUAAGGUAGCGAAAUUCCUUGUCGGGUAAGUUCCGACCUGCACGAAUGGCGUAACGACUUCUCUGCUGUCUCAACCACAGACUCGGCGAAAUUGCAUUACGAGUAAAGAUGCUCGUUACGCGCGGCAGGACGAAAAGACCCCGGGACCUUCACUAUAGCUUGGUAUUGGUGUUCGGUUCGGUUUGUGUAGGAUAGGUGGGAGACUGUGAAGCAUGCACGCCAGUGUGUGUGGAGUCGUUGUUGAAAUACCACUCUGAUCGUAUUGGAUAUCUAACCUCGGACCAUGAUCUGGUUCAGGGACAG
rnacentral:rRNA from 1 species